UAGCGAAGGGGGCUAGCGUUGUUCGGAAUUACUGGGCGUAAAGCGCACGUAGGCGGAUACUUAAGUCAGGGGUGAAAUCCCGGGGCUCAACCCCGGAACUGCCUUUGAUACUGGGUAUCUCGAGUCCGGAAGAGGUGAGUGGAAUUCCGAGUGUAGAGGUGAAAUUCGUAGAUAUUCGGAGGAACACCAGUGGCGAAGGCGGC
rnacentral:rRNA from 1 species